rnacentral:tRNA from 1 species
UCAAAGUUUUUUAAAAGUGGAAAACAUAGGGGCGGAUGUAGCCAAAUGGAUCAAGGCAGUGGAUUGUGAAUCCACC